GGCUCUUGUUUGAUCACUUUUUAGAUCUUUUGUAAUUCUUCUGCCUGUGAAUAUCUGGAAAGUAUUGUGUACAGAACUAUGUGUAAAGUACAUUUCUAAUUUAUAUUCUUGGUCAAACUGCAGUUAAGGUUGCUAUAGUGACUAAUACCUUACACAGAACACAUGGCAAGAACAAAACAUUGAAAAUAGCCUCAGCAAUAGAAAAUAUGAAGGGAGACACUUAGGGCGUGGUAACCUUUGUGUCAUAGAUUUAAGAGCAUUCCUGCCAGUGGAACUCAGAGGACAAAAGAACUGAGUUCACUGAGGAUCCUGAAGCAUGGCUGAAGAGACACCUACUCUGUCAACAGCCUCAUUCCUUCUUUGCAAUACCUUCUGCUUUCUUUUUUGAGACUUACAUAUGAUGACACUUCUCUGUUUGUCUGUCGUUGCCUACAAACAGAAUGAGUUGUAGGCAUCCAUAAACGGCCUCCAGCAUGACACAGCCUCCAAUCACAUCUCUGCCAUUAUCCUAAAUGAGCUUGGCACCAUGAAAGAUAUAUGCCCCAGAGAAAAAUAAAAGAUAACAAUAAGGAUGAGAUGGGUGGAACAGCAGAAGUAGCAGAAAAAUUAUGAAGCUUUUUUUUUUUUUUUUUUUUUUUUACAGUAAAAUCUUGAAGAAGCAGAGAAUGGGAGAACCCAGGGCAGGUGGGAGGAAGAAAUAGAAACAGGAAAGAAGUAAAAGGCACACAGCUUGUAAAGUUAUGGAAGCUGGGAGAAAAGAGAAGAAAAAGAAUAAAGUAUCGAAGAUACAUCACUAAGGAGGAAAUAGUAUGACAGAAAGCCUUUGGCUUGAAAAAAGCAGUGUCUCUCAUGGGAAGGAGAGCUUGAAGGGCUCUCACAGAACCUGGCAUGAGCAUGAGUGUUCAGUGAGUUCCCAGAAUAGAUGGGAAGAACCACUUAUAUGCAGGAGAGCAAUGGGAGACUGAGAGAAACAUGUCACAUGAUUGGUCUACAAGCAGCAAAGGGAGUGACCCAGCAGCCUUUAGAAAUUAAAGGAGACUUCUUUCUAUUCAGCACUUCUGUGUGUGGUACGUGUGAUACUUCCACCUGUGAUUUCUCAUCUGAGCCUAUUCUGCUAUGUAACUACUGUGACUCCAGUUAA
rnacentral:lncRNA from 1 species